GCCCCCGUAGCUCAGUGGACAGAGCAACUGCCUUCUAAGCAGUGGGUCGUGUGUUCGAAUCGCACCGGGGGUA
rnacentral:tRNA from 1 species